rnacentral:rRNA from 1 species
CAGCCGCCGCGGUAAUACGAAGGUCCCGAGCGUUGUUCGGAAUCACUGGGCGUAAAGGGAGCGUAGGCGGCGUGGUAAGUCAGAUGUGAAAUCCCGGGGCUCAACCCCGGAACUGCAUCCGAUACUGCCGUGCUAGAGGAUUGGAGAGGUAGCUGGAAUUCUUGGUGUAGCAGUGAAAUGCGUGGAGAUCAAGAGGAACACUCGUGGCGAAAGCGAGCUACUGGACAAUAUCUGACGCUGAGGCUCGAAGGCCAGGGUAGCGAAAGGGAUUAGAUACCCCUGUAGUCCCUGUCUCUUAUAC